rnacentral:rRNA from 1 species
UACAGAGGUGGCAAGCGUUGUUCGGAAUUACUGGGCGUAAAGGGCGCGUAGGCGGUUCGUUAAGUCCUGUGUGAAAUCCCCCGGCUCAACUGGGGAACUGCACAGGAAACUAGCGGGCUUGAGUUCGGGAGAGGGAAGCGGAAUUCCGGGUGUAGCGGUGAAAUUCGUAGAUAUUCGGAAGAACACCAGUGGCGAAGGCGGCUCACUGGCCCGGUACUGACGCUGAGGUGCGAAAGCGUGGGGAGCAAACAGG